GACGAACGCUGGCGGCGUGCCUAAUACAUGCAAGUCGAACGCUUUUUCUUUCACCGGAGCUUGCUCCACCGAAAGAAAAAGAGUGGCGAACGGGUGAGUAACACGUGGGUAACCUGCCCAUCAGAAGGGGAUAACACUUGGAAACAGGUGCUAAUACCGUAUAACACUAUUUUCCGCAUGGAAGAAAGUUGAAAGGCGCUUUUGCGUCACUGAUGGAUGGACCCGCGGUGCAUUCGCUAGCUGGUGAGGUAACGGCUCACCAAGGCAACGAUGAAUAGCCGACCUGAGAGGGUGAUCGGCCACACUGGGACUGAGACACGGCCCAGACUCCUACGGGAGGCAGCAGUAGGGAAUCUUCGGCAAUGGACGAAAGUCUGACCGAGCAACGCCGCGUGAGUGAAGAAGGUUUUCGGAUCGUAAAACUCUGUUGUUAGAGAAGAACAAGGAUGAGAGUAAAAUGUUCAUCCCUUGACGGUAUCUAACCAGAAAGCCACGGCUAACUACGUGCCAGCCGCCGCCGUAA
rnacentral:rRNA from 1 species